CCUACGGGGGGCAGCAGUGGGGGAUAUUGCACAAUGGGGGGAACCCUGAUGCAGCGACGCCGCGUGGGUGAAGAAGCGCCUCGGCGCGUAAGGCCCUGUCAGCAGGGAAGAAAAUGACGGUACCUGAAGAAGAAGCCCCGGCUAACUACGUGCCAGCAGCCGCGGGAAUACGUAGGGGGCAAGCGUUAUCCGGAUUUACUGGGUGUAAAGGGGGCGCAGACGGCGAUGCAAGCCAGGAGGGAAAGCCCGGGGCCCAACCCCGGGACUGCUCUUGGAACUGGGUGGCUGGAGUGCAGGAGGGGCAGGCGGAAUUCCUGGUGUAGCGGUGAAAUGCGUAGAUAUCAGGAGGAACACCGGUGGCGAAGGCGGCCUGCUGGACUGCAACUGACGUUGAGGCCCGAAAGCGUGGGGAGCAAACAGGAUUAGAUACCCUUGUAGUC
rnacentral:rRNA from 1 species